rnacentral:rRNA from 1 species
UACGGGGGGGGUAAGCGUUGUUCGGAAUUACUGGGCGUAAAGGGCUCGUAGGCGGCCAACUAAGUCAGACGUGAAAUCCCUCAGCUUAACUGGGGAACUGCGUCUGAUACUGGAUGGCUUGGAUUUGGGAGAGGGAUGCGGAAUUCCAGGUGUAGCGGUGAAAUGCGUAGAUACCUGGAGGAACACCGGUGGCGAAGGCGGCAUCCUGGACCAACAUUGACGCUGAGGAGCGAAAGCCAGGGGAGCAAACGGG